GAGAAAAAUUAAUGUAUCUAUUCUAGUUUGGAUGAAAAAUGGGAUUGAGGACAGAAUCUCAAAACAAUGUGAAGAAUGGGGAAAUAAUGCAGCAGAGGUUUUCAGAACCCCAGAAAUGGUUUAGAUCCAGUCUGAGGGUGCAUCUACACAAUAGAAUUAAUGUAGCUUCACUCCAAUUUAACUGGAGUGGCUUGAUAUUAUGGAAUCAUGGGAGUUGUAAUUUGAUGAGGCACUAGUAGAGAAGGCUAAAGAUAUUAUAGAACUAUGACUCCAGUGAUUCCAUAGCAUUGAACUGUAACAGUUAAGGGGGUGUCAAUUUGCAUUCAUUCUAAAGUGUAGAUGCACCUCCAGCCAUAUAUAAACCCAUUGAAAUCCAUGGUAUUAAGUUGAUUGUACCUUACUUGAGUUCUUUUAGUUCCAGUGGGCUUACUCUGUGCAUGAAUAAAUCUGGAUCCAACUUAUUUCUCCCAAUAUGUUUGAACUCUGAGAUAUUUCAGACAUGUUAGAACACAAAGCAACCCUUCACCCCAGCAUAUUUGUAAUUGUAACAGAAGACUCGUUGUGGUUGGAAGAGCAGCAACUGGCAAGGUGUACAAGAGCUCAGAAUUUUGUUCAUGAGCCGGCAACCACAGGUUUUGCACUGCCUCGUGUCUCUGGCCUUCAUUUAGUCAUGCAGGUAAACAUGCAGUGUGCAGAAUUAAAUUCAGACCCUGGAACCCAAUCCUUAGAACAGCACCAUGCGGCUUGGGGAAACAAUGCAAUCAUCAUGGAGGCCUUGCCAGAAUGUGCAGCUUUAUUUGUUUAAGCAAUUAUAGAACCGGCGAAGCAUUCCCAAAUAGCUUGUUGCUGAAUGUAACAGAGGAGGCCUGCCUGUGGUAUGAAAAAUCCUAUAGUCCCCAGUUCCAAGACAACACCUCCCCUCUUGAACUCUUGCCUGACCUGAUCAAAGGGGGUGCUCGCCUGUGUUUGCCUUUGAGGAGAGAAAUCUCUGAAGAUGGUAAGACUGCUGAUUGUAUCUUGAAGCCUCACUUUGUCCAAAAACAAGAAACAGGACCACAAGAAUCUCCUGUCCAGAGCUUCUGGACAGGUUGCAUUACCAUUUGGGAUCCUGAAGCAUGUUCCAGUCCUUCUCUGAUGUCUGUUACUGGGCAGAACAUCAACAGCUCCAACCACAAAGCACCUGGAUCUUGCUUGGAAGCCCUAGGGCCAGAUAUUUUGAGCUGUGGUUUCAUUUUGGAACACUUCCCCUCACUCAUUUCCAAGACUCUAAAUUCCACUGAUCAGAAAAUACUUAAUAUGAAAUAAUUCAUAAGGCUGUCAUUAAAAAACCCUUUCCAGUUAUUGGCCCUUCUCUCCACCCCAUGAGGCCAUGACGGGCUAUGAUACAUGUUGUGUUCUUCAAAGGUACUCUGAUGCCACACAAUUAUAGCACGAUGAUUCCACUGUAACUGCCAUGGCUGAAAUUAUUGGACUGUAGAUUGAGAGGCAUUAAAAGGUCUCUCUCUGGCACAGAAUUCUAAAUAAAUUGCAAUCUCUAAAUCUCUAAAUCAUAAACCCCAGAAUUCCAUAGCAGAAUUCCAUGACAGUUAAAAAGAAUCAUACAGCUAGAAUUGUAAAAAGGAUCCUGUCUGAUUGAUUUCAGUGCCAGGGAGUUAAUAUGUAUAAAUGUCAUGUAAUCGUUUGCAUAUAUAUUGAGUUGGUGCAACUAUGAUUCAUGACUGGUGGAAAAAGUGAACACACUAUCCUUCCCAGAUUGUCCCUUUUUGCUUUUGAAGGAUCCAAAGACAGGUAACCAGAAGUUCACACAAGCAAGCUUGAGCUGAUCCAAAUCAAACAAAGGAAGCAAAGAAAUAUGGCCUCGGGAUGUUGUGUUUACAAGCCUCUGUGUAACCUUUCAAACAUAUCAGUGGAUUUCGAGGUUCUCCUUAACAUACAACUGUAAGGGACUUGCAUGUUUUCUCAAUUCAGGUAGUGUCAUUUCUGGAUUUAAUGACUCCAUUUUCAUAUUCACAGUGAUAGGUGUUUAUGUGCAUUAAUUCACCCCCUGGCUGUGAACCACACAUAAUACCUAUCUGGGACAGAAGAAGAAAUUUAUGAUGUGGAUUCAGCUUCCUCAAGCAGGUGAAAUAAUGUUUUCAAAACUGAUUCCAUUAACUAGCUCUAAGGAAGAUGUUCAUUUAGAUCCAAUCAAAAUUCUCCUGGGUGCAGGCAUUUUAAAAAAAAUCUUGUAAAAUUAAUUAUCUUCGGAGUACACAUGGAAUCCUAUCCAAUAAUGGGAUUUGCAGUGUUUAAAUGCAUGUCUAUCACUCCAUUGGUGCCAAAUUAAAACUUGCAUGUGUGAAUAAAUGAUUGCAA